UUCAGUCGUGAGGAAGGUGUUAGGGUUAAUAACCUUAGCAAUUGACGUUAGCGACAGAAGAAGCACCGGCUAACUCCGUGCCAGCAGCCGCGGUAAUACGGAGGGUGCGAGCGUUAAUCGGAAUUACUGGGCGUAAAGGGCACGCAGGCGGUUAAUUAAGUUGGAUGUGAAAUCCCCGGGCUUAACCUGGGAAUGGCAUUCAAGACUGGUUAGCUAGAGUCUUGUAGAGGGGGGUAGAAUUCCAUGUGUAGCGGUGAAAUGCGUAGAGAUGUGGAGGAAUACCGGUGGCGAAGGCGGCCCCCUGGACAAAGACUGACGCUCAUGUGCGAAAGCGUGGGGAGCAAACAGGAUUAGAUACCCUGGUAGUCCACGUUGUAAACGAUGUCGAUUUGGAGGUUGUGGUCAGGAACUGUGGCCUCCGGAGCUAACGCGUUAAAUCGACCGCCUGGGGAGUACGGCCGCAAGGUUAAAACUCAAAUGAAUUGACGGGGGCCCGCACAAGCGGUGGAGCAUGUGGUUUAAUUCGAUGCAACGCGAAGAACCUUACCUACUCUUGACAUCCAGNGAAGCUUUUAGAGAUAGAGGCGUGCCUUCGGGAACUUUGAGACAGGUGCUGCAUGGCUGUCGUCAGCUCGUGUUGUGAAAUGUUGGGUUAAGUCCCGCAACGAGCGCAACCCUUAUCCUUUGUUGCCAGCGAUUAGGUCGGGAACUCAAAGGAGACUGCCGGUGAUAAACCGGAGGAAGGUGGGGAUGACGUCAAGUCAUCAUGGCCC
rnacentral:rRNA from 1 species